UAUUUCCCCACAGAUUAGCUACACCAUAGGCAGCAGCAGCAGCGUUCCCACACGCUGCCCAGACAGUGUGCCUUGACCUGACCUGGAGGGACCUUCCUAGGGCAAGA
rnacentral:sRNA from 1 species